rnacentral:rRNA from 1 species
ACAGGGAUUGCCCUAGUAACGGCGAGUGAAGCGGCAACAGCUCAAAUUUGAAAUCUGGCGUCUUUGGCGUCCGAGUUGUAAUUUGCAGAGGGCGCUUUGGCAUUGGCAGCGGUCCAAGUUCCUUGGAACAGGACGUCACAGAGGGUGAGAAUCCCGUACGUGGUCGCUAGCCUUUACCGUGUAAAGCCCCUUCGACGAGUCGAGUUGUUUGGGAAUGCAGCUCUAAAUGGGAGGUAAAUUUCUUCUAAAGCUAAAUACUGGCCAGAGACCGAUAGCGCACAAGUAGAGUGAUCGAAAGAUGAAAAGCACUUUGGAAAGAGAGUUAAAAAGCACGUGAAAUUGUUGAAAGGGAAGCGCUUGCAGCCAGACUUGCCUGUAGUUGCUCAUCCGGGUUUCUACCCGGUGCACUCUUCUACGGGCAGGCCAGCAUCAGUUUGGGCGGUUGGAUAAAGGUCUCUGUCAUGUACCUCCUUUCGGGGAGAUCUUAUAGGGGAGACGACAUGCAACCAGCCUGGACUGAGGUCCGCGCAUCUGCUAGGAUGCUGGCGUAAUGGCUGUAAGCGGCCCGUCUUGAAACACGGACCAAGGAGUCUAACAUCUAUGCGAGUGUUUGGGUGUCAAGCCCGAGCGCGUAAUGAAAGUGAACGGAGGUGGGAACCUUUCGGGGUGCACCAUCGACCGAUCCUGAUGUCUUCGGAUGGAUUUGAGUAAGAGCAUAGCUGUUGGGACCCGAAAGAUGGUGAACUAUGCUUGAAUAGGGUGAAGCCAGAGGAAACUCUGGUGGAGGCUCGCAGCGGUUCUGACGUGCAAAUCGAUCGUCAAAUUUGGGCAUAGGGGCGAAAGACUAUCGAA